rnacentral:rRNA from 1 species
UACGGAGGGUGCAAGCGUUAUCCGGAUUCACUGGGUUUAAAGGGUGCGUAGGCGGGUAGGUAAGUCAGUGGUGAAAUCUUCGAGCUUAACUCGGAAACUGCCGUUGAUACUAUCUAUCUUGAAUACCGUGGAGGUGAGCGGAAUAUGUCAUGUAGCGGUGAAAUGCUUAGAUAUGACAUAGAACACCAAUUGCGAAGGCAGCUCGCUACACGAAUAUUGACUCUGAGGCACGAAAGCGUGGGGAUCAAACAGG